GAGAGUUUGAUCCUGGCUCAGAUUGAACGCUAGCGGGAUGCCUUACACAUGCAAGUCGAACGGCAGCACGGACUUCGGUCUGGUGGCGAGUGGCGAACGGGUGAGUAAUGUAUCGGAACGUGCCCAGUAGCGGGGGAUAACUACGCGAAAGCGUAGCUAAUACCGCAUACGCCCUACGGGGGAAAGCAGGGGAUCGCAAGACCUUGCACUAUUGGAGCGGCCGAUAUCGGAUUAGCUAGUUGGUGGGGUAACGGCUCACCAAGGCGACGAUCCGUAGCUGGUUUGAGAGGACGACCAGCCACACUGGGACUGAGACACGGCCCAGACUCCUACGGGAGGCAGCAGUGGGGAAUUUUGGACAAUGGGGGAAACCCUGAUCCAGCCAUCCCGCGUGUGCGAUGAAGGCCUUCGGGUUGUAAAGCACUUUUGGCAGGAAAGAAACGUCGCGGGUUAAUACCCCGCGAAACUGACGGUACCUGCAGAAUAAGCACCGGCUAACUACGUGCCAGCAGCCGCGGUAAUACGUAGGGUGCAAGCGUUAAUCGGAAUUACUGGGCGUAAAGCGUGCGCAGGCGGUUCGGAAAGAAAGAUGUGAAAUCCCAGAGCUUAACUUUGGAACUGCAUUUUUAACUACCGGGCUAGAGUGUGUCAGAGGGAGGUGGAAUUCCGCGUGUAGCAGUGAAAUGCGUAGAUAUGCGGAGGAACACCGAUGGCGAAGGCAGCCUCCUGGGAUAACACUGACGCUCAUGCACGAAAGCG
rnacentral:rRNA from 1 species